UUUGUCGAAUUUCCCACUUCUGCCUCUCUCCCCUUUUUCCCUCUCGUAGCAAACUUUGAAAAUUUUUUCCCUGAAAUUUUCGUUGGAAUUUCUCGUGAAAUCGGAUGGCUAAUUCGAAGAAAUGGGCUUCGUUGAUCUCUGUCGCCGCUUCCUUCGUUUUCUGCGUCGUCGUCGUCUUUCAGGUUCCUCUUUUCAGAGUUCCUUGCGGAAACAGGGUAUGCGAAACACCAUUAGAGGUUGUUUCUUCUCAGUUGAUCAGAAACGAACUGGUUCCUUCCUCCUUUGUCAAGACCCUCCUCUACCCCGGAGCUACUGGAAAGUCUAUUAUUAGCGGCAGGGGAUUCCCGAGCUAUAACAAGUUAUUCAAGUAUUACAGCUUUGACAGCGUCAAGAGGACUUCCUUCUCGGCCGCAGAUAUCAAUCAUCUAGAGGUUUUAGCUGGGAGCUGUUUAUGUGUACUGGGAGCUUUACUCAGCCUGUUCAAACCCAGAAGAAUAAGCUUUAUUGGUACGCUUCUAAUUUUCUGGGGCCUUAUUCGGGAGAUUGUUCUGUCGGAAUCGUCUCCUGGUCGGACAAGUGAUGGAAGGAAUUCUGUUCUUAUCUACCCGGCGAUGUUUCUUGCUGCUCUUUCCGCUUUCCUGUCCAUCAGAAGCGAUGUAAGGACAAUCAUUCGCAGUUGCAGAAUUAAGCCAAAGUCUCUAUGACCCAAAAGGAGGCAGAUCAUAGCACAGCUCUAGGUUUCUGCAGCACUAACAUGGAAUUCGAACAGGUAGUAAAACUCGUCAUUUCCCGGUAGAUUGAGAUUUUUUUUUUGGCAUAUUAGUUAGAGAAUCAAGUCUUUAUCAUCUGAAUGAUGGUGGAAAGUUAGAUAGAUUUCAUUCUCGUUGAAACGAGCUGGUUGGUGAAAACCAGAUUUUCUGAGGAAAAGAUAAUGUACCCACAUUCAUUCAUUCUACCUUAGAGUUCAAAUUGGGCUAGACUCAUACUCGGUAUGUGGGGCUGUUUCAGCACGAAGUAGAAGACGAAGUAAUGCACCUUACAAUGACUUGAUUUAGAGCUUUAAAAGCUGUUGAAGUUUCUUAUCAAAU